GGGCACAUGGUGUAGUUGGUUAUCACGCUCGCUUAGCAUCAUUUGACUUCUGCGAGAGGUGUUGGGUUCAAUUCCCAAUGUGUCCA